rnacentral:rRNA from 1 species
GUGAGGAAUUUUCCGCAAUGGGCGAAAGCCUGACGGAGCAAUGCCGCGUGAAGGAUGAAGGCCUAUGGGUUGUAAACUUCUUUUCUCAGAAAAGAAUUAUGACGGUAUCUGAGGAAUAAGCAUCGGCUAACUCUGUGCCAGCAGCCGCGGUAAGACAGAGGAUGCAAGCGUUAUCCGGAAUGAUUGGGCGUAAAGCGACUGUAGGUUGUUUAAAAAGUAUUCUGUCAAAGAUUAGGGCUUAACCCUAGAUAGGCAGAAUAAACUUUUAAGCUAGAGUUUGGUAGAGGCAGAGGGAAUUCCCGGUGGGGCGGUGAAAUGCGUAGAUAUCGGGAGGAACACCAAAGGCGAAGGCACUCUGCUGGGCCAAUACUAACACUGAGAGACGAAAGCGAGGGGAGCAAAUGGGAUUAGAAACCCGGGUAGUCC